GCUACACAUGGAUAGCGUCGGCACUGAUUUGCCGUCGCCAAUGGUGCAAUAUUUGCUUAGGUAAAACAUGCAGUGGCCAAAAUUGCUUCGGCAAAAGAUGUCGUCGCCAAUGAUCCAGUAUUUGUUUUGGUAAAACGUCCCGUCGCCCAAAAUUGCUUCAGCAAUAUAAGGCCGUGGUAGUAAUUACGACUGCCUGUGGUUUCCGUCACCAUAUUCUCUUUUACUUUGCAUUAAGCACCAGCCCUAGACAUCAUAUUUGACAAGGAAAAAAAAUAGACAUCGAACCAGCCAACCACUUUAAGCACAAGUCUUCUCUCUAUCUCUUUUUCAAUCUCGCCAUCGACACCGGUACUCUUGAAAAGUUGCCAUCGCCACCACCAGGAUCUCUCUCACUGUCGCCGCUGGUCUCAGGAUGUAAUCUCCACCAUCAUCACUUUGUGGUCAAUUUGAGAUAUGAAUAUUUUUUGACUCAGUGGACCAUAUAGAGGAAGCUGAGAAAUCAUUUGUUAUGCGAAGCUAAGGUUGCAUGAUGAAAAUGAAGGGUGUUUGGUAUAUUCACAGAGAAAGUAUCUUUGGCUGCACCACCACAGGUCUCUCCCUUUUCUUUUCCUACCCUCCCUCUGCCUCAAAAUCUCAUUGUACUCAAAACUAUCAAUUUAAUGUCACUAUCCACUGCAUUUCUCACAGUUCUAGUUUCUAAUGAAACUAAAAAUGACUCUGAAAUUUGUAAGAAUGAUCUGUUAUCAGGCUGUGUUCACCUUAGUGUGCAUCUCGGUGACAGUAUUAGGUGUUUAUCAGUUGAUGGUAAGAAUCAUGAAGAUUUGGAUAUUUAUAGUAACACUGAGGAGAAGUCUAGGCAUUCACUUUAAAGCAAAUACUUAUAAAAAGAAGGAAAAAAGAAAAGAAAAGAAAAGGUUGUGCUAAAAUAAACAAAAAUAACUGUGACAGUAAAGGCUUUCAUAGUUUAAAGGUUCACCAAUCAUCAUCCAAAAUGUCAUACCACUGUACUUGAUUAUUGUGCAGUGGAGGGAGGGAUUGUGCUUGAUGAGAGAUUUGGUUCAGUGAUUUAGUGACUGGGUCUAAACUUGAUUUCAACUAGUUGAUAAAAAAGUAGUACGUGUUUCUUAGUUUUCUCUUUGAUUUCUACCCUUCCAUUUCAUUAUCAGUCGGCCUUCUUGGUGGUUUUUCUUUUAGGUUUUCUAUCUGAUAAAAGAAAAUCAGAACUGAUGUCUUGUGAUGCUUAUGCUUGAGCCUUGUUCUAUACUGAUAUUUUGUAAGGAGCCAUUCUUCUAUGGACAUGAUAACUACGAUCAGCACGUGAAACUAGCAAAGGUAUGUAUGCUGUUCACGAAUCUGUCUUGUAUAUUUGCCUUUAUUUAUCUUAUAUGAUCAAUCUACUGCCUCUGUCCUGUUCAAUUUCUUCCUGUGCCAUUACUCUCCUCCUUUAUUUAUCUUAUAUGAUCAAUCUACUGCCUCUGUCCUGUUCAAUUUCUUCCUGUGCCAUUACUCUCCUAGCAGCAAUCAGUAGUUUAGUUGAUUUCCUGUGAGUGGAAUACUUUAUCAGAGGCCUUAGUUGAUUUCUGAAGGCAUAAUAAUAAGACCAGCUAGUGAACAACUCACACUUGCUGAAUGCUGACUCAAAAAUUUAAAAAGUAACUAAGAGUUCAAGUGAAAUAUUGAAUUUACAGGUAUGAACAAUAUCUAUGUCAUGUACAUCUCCCAUUGAUUUUCUAGCUUUUCUUUUUUUUUCUUUAAUGAAUGCUUGAAGAUUUCUGACUUUCUUUUAUAGGAGGCUUGUAACUGCAACAACACUAGAGUAAUUGGUACGUGAAGUACGUAGAUCGAAGAAGAUUCCUGCAAAGUUUAUCUUGAAGUAGAGGAAAAUAACUAACUUACAAAACUUAAUUAUCUUCUAAACUUUGGUAGAAGCUUCAUUCCUUUUGUAACAUUCAUGAGGAAAAUUAAAAUGUAACAUUUCCUUUUAUAUUAGCUUCAUUCCUUUUUGUA